rnacentral:rRNA from 1 species
AGAGUUUGAUCCUGGCUCAGGACGAACGCUGGCGGCGCGCCUAAUACAUGCAAGUCGAGCGAGAACCAGGGCUUGCCCUGGGGAGAGCGGCGAACGGGUGCGUAUCACGUGAGCAACCUGCCUCAGAGACCGGGAUAACUCGAGGAAACUCGGGCUAAUACCGGAUGCCCUCGGUGGACCGCAUGGUCCGGCGAGGAAAUGGAUUCCGCUCUGAGAUGGGCUCGCGGCCUAUCAGCUUGUUGGUGGGGUAAUGGCCUACCAAGGCAACGACGGGUAGCUGGUCUGAGAGGACGAUCAGCCACACUGGGACUGAGACACGGCCCAGACUCCUACGGGAGGCAGCAGUAGGGAAUCUUGCGCAAUGGGGGAAACCCUGACGCAGCGACGCCGCGUGCGGGAUGAAGGCCUUCGGGUCGUAAACCGCUUUCAGCAGGGACGAAAUUGACGGUACCUGCAGAAGAAGGCCCGGCCAACUACGUGCCAGCAGCCGCGGUGAUACGUAGGGGUCUAGCGUUGUCCGGAAUCAUUGGGCGUAAAGAGCUCGUAGGCGGUUCGAUUAGUCGGGUGUGAAAUCUCCACGCUCAACGUGGAGGGGCCACUCGAUACUGUCGUGACUCGAGUCCGGUAGGGGAGUUCGGAAUUCCCGGUGUAGCGGUGAAAUGCGCAGAUAUCGGGAGGAACACCAGUGGCGAAGGCGGAACUCUGGGCCGGAACUGACGCUGAGGAGCGAAAGCGUGGGGAGCGAACAGGAUUAGAUACCCUAGUAGUCC